GGAGGAUUAGUCUAAUUGGUAAGGCAGCGGUCUUGAAAACCGCCGGCUGCAAAGCCUUGGGGGUUCGAGUCCCUCAUCCUCCGCAA
rnacentral:tRNA from 1 species